UGUAAAGAUGAAAUAUUUGUCAUGUUAAAUAGGUCGCUGUUACUCAUCCAAAAAGGUUAGUGUUUAAGAACUUGUUACUUUGUUGGAUAUUGAUUGUAUGCCACUACACCCGCAGAAAUUUCCCUGAAUCUCUCAGAUGAAAAAAUAUCGUGAAUAUAUACUGUAGUAGCUUAUUAGAAGUAAAAUAUUGUGGCUUCGGCCUUGCUUUUUGUGCAACAAUGUAACACAUUUUUUGGACAUCAGGCACUAUAUGUGUUCAUCUCCGUAUUGACCUGCUUCACAUUUGUGACUGAACUAAUUGUGCUCAUAUCUACUGAUGCCCAUAUCUUUGAUCCAAUUAGUUCAGAGGUAGAAGGUCAACAUGAUAAACGAAAAAAAAAUGGUCAAUAUGAUAGGCGGCAAAAGCUCUUCUUUGUCUCUUGCGAUCUUUGCCUGAAGAGGUGCUUGAUUAGCUUGCGAACAAUUACCCGUCAGCAGGUGCUCAAAAUAUCACGUAUUGUUCAAUUAUGUCAAACAAGUGCUUUUGAAAAAUUAGAGGAACACGAAAACAAGACAAUCAUUUAUCUAACUUAUUAAUUAGGUAACACAGUACCAUUUUGCUCUAAGGCUUUUCACCAUCAGUUUUCAGGUCGACAUGGUGAGCUUUAUUUGUGCAGAGAAAUCUGCAGCAUGCAGAUUCUCCUUAUCAACCCCAUCAGUAGUUUCACCAAACAACAAUGCAGACUUGAAUCCAACUGAGUCAACUAAAUGUGUGGUCUUAUCGAACCAUGUAUGGCUGCCAGGUUGUGGAAUCAGAUAAAGCAGAGUACAUUUCCAUUGCUCUUUCUAUAAAGAGGGGGAGAAGGAAUGCUUGCCUAGCUCUAUACUCUAGAGAAGCUAACUGACCUGAAAGUUAAUUUCACCAAUAAGGUUAAUUUUGAGUGCCUUUAGUAGGACUAGGCCUGGGAGGCAUCCGAGAAUGCAGGCCUUCAUGAUCUUCAUGUGUCAGGACAUCGGUGUUUGUUCAUCUAGAGACAACCGUAUUACAAGGUUCCCAAUAGCAUUCCAUUUCACUUCUCUGUGAAAUACGUGUAAUUUCGUUCCAGUCCUUCCUCUUAGAAAAAUAUGGUGAACAAAAAUGUGUCAUUUCUACUACACACCAACGAUGUCCUGGAGCUGGGCGGUGCAGCUCUAGAACUCUGGUCAAACUGGCUGAGAAAAUAGGACAAAUAGUAAGCUGCAGCCCAAAUGAAUUUUCGCAGUAAACUUGUCAUCUCUUAUAAAUUUGAGAGAAGGGACUCAUGAUGCCAUGUCUGGCUCUAGAUUCUAGAGAAAUCACAUUGACUUCGCUGGGAGAAGACAUAGGAGUUACUGUAUGCUAUGCCAUGAUAUCCAAAAUCGACGCAAGUUAAUAUGAGGUUUCAUUAAAAGUAACAUCCAAAGUUUGCAUUCAUUAUCUUCCAGCAUAUGUACUAUGAACUGGGAGACUCGUAAAUACAGCAGGAUAUAUUCAAAUGUUGCAACUGACUGAUUGACCUUCAAGGAGGUUUCCAAUUGCAAGCUACAGAGACAGAGAACUUCUAUUAUCAUCACAAUAUUACUUUUUAGCUUUCUUUUUGUUACAUUACUAAUACUGUGGUUUGGUUCAUGAAAUCAGAAACAACUUCUCUUUUGUGAAUGAAAUAAUAAUUCUGUGUUGUUUAGCAGAUCAAUUUUUCUAGAACCUGAAUAGACUGACCAGCCUGUUGGUCAAGUAAUAUCUACUAUAUAAAGGGGAACAUGCUGCAGUAAAGCCAAGAAGAAUAUUACCAUUUACUUUAUAUACUUUAUUUACAGUAAUUAGAAUUAAUGUGAGUGGUAGAUCCUUUAAAGGUGCCUCGACAUCUUCUGUUCCCGUUGAAGCGCUCACAACUCUCUGCAAAACCGAGCCACUCUUCUUGUUGAAGGGGGAGCCCCUCAUCUUUUGCAUCUUCUCUUUUUCUCUGGAGAAGCGCCAGAACUGUCAUCAUUAGGCUUAUAUUUCUUCCGUCAGUUCAGGCCUCAUGCCUUCCCUCUCAGCUGGCGCCUUACUAGAAUUGUAGAAUUCUCACAAAUACAAGAGUCUAUAUUUAAUCUCCGUGCUCUGAGAACAAGAACUUCAGCUUAUUUAACCCUGCUAUGGAAUAAAUAGCUCCAGGAUCACAAUUAGCCUUUUCUUUUUCUUUAUAUGUUCAGGGCACUUGUGCACAAGGAUUCCUGGUUCCGGCUACUCAGGGCACUUGUGAACAUAUUGGAUUACUGGUGCAUUAUGGAAACAACGGAUGAUCUGCUACUCCUAUAGAUGAGUAAGGUAUUUAUCCUGUAUUUAUUUCUUGCGAUCAAAAUCUGUACAUUCAGCAGUAUAUAUUUUAAGUUCAUUCUUGUGACCCAACUUCAGAUAGACUAGUCUUCUGUACGCACUCCAGUUUUUAUGCCUAUGCCAAUUGAGUAAUCUAUCUUAUUUAUUUUUAAAGAGAAGAAACAUAUGCUUUUGCUGACCUGUCAGCUCCUUAUGGAGAUGGUGGGCCAGUUGGGGUAAUCUUAGCUGAGGAUCAAUGUUUGUGUUAACACAUGGUUAUUGACUUCUCUAUAUUUAUUACUAUAUGUAUUUUUGAGAAUGAGAUGCUCCUGUGUUGGCGUUUUGGUACUGUAGUCCAGUUCUGCGCAAUAGCAGCUCAAUAUGCUUUUGGUGCGUUGGGUUUGGCUUGGACACUUGGGUAACUGCUAAUGCUUACCUAUUCCUAGUCCAUGUUAUAGCUGCUCUUACCUAGUUUCGCAUAUGACACUUUAUGUAGUUCACAUUGUUAUUUUAAUGGUUGCAUGUUCUGAUUGUAUGCCUUUGGUGAUCUUUUUUCUGGUCUUUGGUAUGAAGCUAGCUAAGCGCUUCUAUUAUUUAUAGAGACUACUGUGUAAGCAGUCAACACAAUUUACAUGUAAAUAUUUUAAGAUAUGGUAUGAAGCUAGCUAAGCGCUUCUAUUAUUUCUAGUAGCAUCAUGUGAUUCACUGAACAAAAAAAGGAUUGCACUGACAUAUGGAAUGUUUGCAAAUUUUAAAGAAAAAGCAAAGAAAAUGGAGUUUCUGAUAGUGUAUUAUAACUGAGACAUUUCUAACUUCUGUAGGAAGCAAACAAAAGGACUGCACUCACAAGGAACCGUGAGGCCAGCGAUCCGCGUCAACUGCAUGUUUUAGCUUUCAUUGUGUACAAAUAACAUCUCAGACUUGUAUCUUUUAGCUAUCUUUUUGUGAACAUGAUGCAUGGUGUCUUGGUGGAUAUC
rnacentral:lncRNA from 1 species